CCUACGGGUGGCAGCAGUGAGGAAUAUUGGUCAAUGGACGAGAGUCUGAACCAGCUAAGUAGCGUGAAGGAUGACUGCCCUAUGGGUUGUAAACUUCUUUUAUAAAGGAAUAAAACGAGGCACGUGUGCCUUUUUGCAUGUACUUUAUGAAUAAGGAUCGGCUAACUCCGUGCCAGCAGCCGCGGUAAUACGGAGGAUCCGAGCGUUAUCCGGAUUUAUUGGGUUUAAAGGGAGCGUAGAUGGGUUGUUAAGUCAGUUGUGAAAGUUUGCGGCUCAACCGUAAAAUUGCAAUUGAUACUGGCAGUCUUGAGUACAGUUGAGGUAAGCGGAAUUCGUGGUGUAGCGGUGAAAUGCUUAGAUAUCACGAAGAACCCCGAUUGCGAAGGCAGCUUACUAAACUGUGACUGACAUUGAUGCUCGAAAGCGUGGGUAGCAAACAGGAUUAGAUACCCCUGUAGUC
rnacentral:rRNA from 1 species